rnacentral:rRNA from 1 species
UACGAAGGGGGCUAGCGUUGCUCGGAAUUACUGGGCGUAAAGGGCGCGUAGGCGGCGAUGUUAGUCAGGCGUGAAAGCCCUGGGCUCAACCUGGGGACUGCGCUUGAUACGGCAUGGCUAGAGGAUGGAAGAGGGUCGCGGAAUUCCCAGUGUAGAGGUGAAAUUCGUAGAUAUUGGGAAGAACACCGGUGGCGAAGGCGGCGACCUGGUCCAUUACUGACGCUGAGGCACGAAAGCGUGGGUAGCAAACAGG